rnacentral:rRNA from 1 species
ACGGACGAGAAGCUUGCUUCUCUGAUGUUAGCGGCGGACGGGUGAGUAACACGUGGAUAACCUACCUAUAAGACUGGGAUAACUUCGGGAAACCGGAGCUAAUACCGGAUAAUAUUUUGAACCGCAUGGUUCAAAAGUGAAAGACGGUCUUGCUGUCACUUAUAGAUGGAUCCGCGCUGCAUUAGCUAGUUGGUAAGGUAACGGCUUACCAAGGCAACGAUGCAUAGCCGACCUGAGAGGGUGAUCGGCCACACUGGAACUGAGACACGGUCCAGACUCCUACGGGAGGCAGCAGUAGGGAAUCUUCCGCAAUGGGCGAAAGCCUGACGGAGCAACGCCGCGUGAGUGAUGAAGGUCUUCGGAUCGUAAAACUCUGUUAUUAGGGAGGAACAUAUGUGUAAGUAACUGUGCACAUCUUGACGGUACCUAAUCAGAAAGCCACGGCUAACUACGUGCCAGCAGCCGCGGUAAUACGUAGGUGGCAAGCGUUAUCCGGAAUUAUUGGGCGUAAAGCGCGCGUAGGCGGUUUUUUAAGUCUGAUGUGAAAGCCCACGGCUCAACCGUGGAGGGUCAUUGGAAACUGGAAAACUUGAGUGCAGAAGAGGAAAGUGGAAUUCCAUGUGUAGCGGUGAAAUGCGCAGAGAUAUGGAGGAACACCAGUGGCGAAGGCGACUUUCUGGUCUGUAACUGACGCUGAUGUGCGAAAGCGUGGGGAUCAAACAGGAUUAGAUACCCUGGUAGUCCACGCCGUAAACGAUGAGUGCUAAGUGUUAGGGGGUUUCCGCCCCUUAGUGCUGCAGCUAACGCAUUAAGCACUCCGCCUGGGGAGUACGACCGCAAGUUG